rnacentral:lncRNA from 10 species
GAAAAAUUAGCCGGGCGUGGUGGCCCGUGCCUGUAGUCCCAUCAAAAAAAUCAAUUCUUGCAAAUUUAAGCAAAAGGGGCUGGGUGCAUCAAAGAAGUCCCCACUCUCCCUCCACCGCCAAAAAAACAAAACAAAAAACAAAAAAAACCAUGAUGUGGAGUUAGCCAGAUGAAUGAGAGAAAACACUUAAGAAAUAUGUAGAGGCCAGGUACUGG